CCAACUGCCUUUGGUGAGGCCUUCAGUGCCCUUAGGGUUCAACAAUGAACAUGUUGGCAAGACUGAGGAAUCUCCUUAGGAGAGAAAAUGGAGAGGGAAGACAGACCAGAGAGAGGCAGAAGAAAGCUGACCUUCAGCCUCAGUUUAAACCAUCAAAAAAAAAUGGUUCAAGAGGAGGAAGAGGAAGUAUGUGCUGAGGGGGCAGGAGAAAGCAGCUGGCUGAGACAUGCAACUACCUUCAGAGACGGGAGAGCUGAGAUCCCCUGGAGGGGCUUCUCAAGCCUGAGUCAAAAUCCAUCGGGGCUGCUGGAGAGCCAUCACUCCCCUCAACUCUCCUCACCAAAAAGGAGUUGAGCACGAACUGGAAAUUCUGACCAGUCAGCUAGAGCAAGUCACCAGAGAAACAAAGGAGCUGUGAGAUUGCCUCAUCUCCAUCACUGAAGGAUCCAACGACAACAGAUCAGAAAAACUGCAGCAUGAGUUAGAAAAGAUCUCAGGACAUGAUGAAAGUCUCCUGCAGACAGAGAAAUGUCACAGGCGAGUGACUCACAAUUGUAUCACAUUUCCAGGAAUCAUGGCAUUCGAGGGGUGGAUUUUCAUCUUGACUCUGGUGUCCUAUGUGUGAACGGGCCCUGAUUUUGUCUAGUCAUUGACAGAAAAUGGCUGCUUUUGGAUCUGAUUGCCUUUCUUUCUCUUACAGCAUCUUCUCAGGGAACUGAGGAGGCUGAAGGAAGCCACAGACAACCAGAAACCGUAACAUUCUCCAUGACGGCAUCAAGACAUCAUCAAAACAAGACAUGUCCUUCUUACUGUAAACUCAGCAUUGAGGGAAAUAUCAACCUCCCUGUAGCUGGUCUAUCUGUAAUCUUAUUGAUGUGUUGUUGGCUCACUAUUUGUGGAGUAAAAAAACCACCAGAAAGAAGCACGAUAUACCAAAAAUACCUGCCAAGAAUUACUCAGUGCCUGGACAUCCAUCAGCGCUGGGACACAACAAGAUGGAGUGAGGAUGUAUAUCUGCUCAUAAUUACUCUGAAUGUUUGUUGCUGAGAGCAUUUGUCAGCUGAUGAGUCCUCAGCCCUUCACAUUUGGAGGGAAAUCUGUCAAGAGAGACUAUUGAUGUCGUGCUGCCAUCCAGACAUCAAAUUCUCAUCCUGUCCAGUGCUGAAGCUACAGCAUGUCAUGUACCUGGGAU